AACGAACGCUGGCGGCAUGCCUAACACAUGCAAGUCGAACGAGACCUUCGGGUCUAGUGGCGCACGGGUGCGUAACGCGUGGGGACCUGCCCUUAGGUUCGGAAUAACUCCCCGAAAGGGGUGCUAAUACCGGAUAAUGUCUUCGGACCAAAGAUUUAUCGCCUUUGGAUGGGCCCGCGUUGGAUUAGCUAGUUGGUAGGGUAAAAGCCUACCAAGGCGACGAUCCAUAGCUGGUCUGAGAGGAUGAUCAGCCACACUGGGACUGAGACACGGCCCAGACUCCUACGGGAGGCAGCAGUGGGGAAUAUUGGACAAGGGGCGAAAGCGUGAUCCAGCAAUGCCGCGUGAGUGAUGAAGGCCUUAGGGUUGUAAAGCUCUUUUACCCGGGAUGAUAAUGACAGUACCGGGAGAAUAAGCUCCGGCUAACUCCGUG
rnacentral:rRNA from 1 species